CCCGGGCCGCUGGAAGCGCAAAAGUGGCCGCGCUCGGCGGGGGGCGGAGUCUCCUGACAAUUCCCUGCUGCCCGCAGCUCUGAUUGGCGGCUGCAGUAGCCUGGGCGGGUGCAGGCGUCUGUCCUAAAGGCGUGGGGGGCUUGUCAGCCCCUCCAAGGCUUGUCUCCGCGCUCCGGACUUGCGGUGGUCACUGCAGCUUUGGACAGUGGCCGGGUAGGACGGCUCCGAGAAUGAAAAUGUGGUUCUUUGGGUGGGUGGUCUCGUUGAUCCUCGGGACUGUGCAUUGCCAGCAGCCCAGAGGGAAACUGACAACUGUGGAUCCUGAAGCAUAUAUGAAUGUGGUAAGUGCUCAAAGUUACCUGUUUUAAAAUGCAUUUGUGACAAGCGUUAUUUCCUUAAAUCCAAUUGUGUGGCCUAAGUUUUGCCACCAACUCUAAUCUCCAUCUAUCCCAUAUGCUUUUUACUAUCUCUGAAUCUUAGAUUCAGUUUGCUAAAUUUUUAUUUUAUCCAGGUAA
rnacentral:lncRNA from 1 species